AGUCACUGACAUUAGAUACCCCGGUAGUCCCAGCCGUAAACGAUGCGCGUUAGGUGUAUCGACGACCACGAGUCGUCGAGGUGCCGAAGGGAAACCGUGAAACGUGCCGCCUGGGAAGUACGGUCGCAAGGCUGAAACUUAAAGGAAUUGGCGGGGGAGCACCGCAACGGGAGGAGCGUGCGGUUUAAUUGGAUUCAACACCGUAAAACUCACCAGGGAAGACUGUUACAUGAAGGCCGAGAUGAAGACUCUGCUAGAUUUUCAG
rnacentral:rRNA from 1 species